rnacentral:rRNA from 1 species
UGGGGAAUAUUGGACAAUGGGCGAAAGCCUGAUCCAGCCAUGCCGCGUGUGUGAAGAAGGUCUUCGGAUUGUAAAGCACUUUAAGUUGGGAGGAAGGGCAUUAACCUAAUACGUUAGUGUUUUGACGUUACCGACAGAAUAAGCACCGGCUAACUCUGUGCCAGCAGCCGCGGUAAUACAGAGGGUGCAAGCGUUCAUAGGAAUUACUGGGCGUAAAGCGCGCGUAGGUGGUUUGUUAAGUUGGAUGUGAAAUCCCCGGGCUCAACCUGGGAACUGCAUUCAAAACUGACUGACUAGAGUAUGGUAGAGGGUGGUGGAAUUUCCUGUGUAGCGGUGAAAUGCGUAGAUAUAGGAAGGAACACCAGUGGCGAAGGCGACCACCUGGACUAAUACUGACACUGAGGUGCGAAAGCGUGGGGAGCAAACA